rnacentral:RNase_P_RNA from 1 species
AGGCGUGCGCAUGCGGCCGCUGGCGGGGGCAACCUCGACAGAGGAAAGUCCGAGCACGACAGGACAGGGUGGUGGGUAACGCCCACCCGGCGCCGGCCAGCGCUGAGGGACAGUGCCACAGAGAACAGACCGCCGAUGGCCGGGGCAACCCGGAUCAGGCAAGGGUGAAACGGCGGGGUAAGAGCCCACCGCCCGGCGCGUGAGCGUCGGGGCACGGCAAACCCCACCCCGUGCAAGGUCACGCAGCCGCCGCGGCCGGUCGCAAGACCGGCCGACAGCCUGUCCGGCUGGAAUGGCGGCGGGUGGACCGCUUCAGGGUGACGGCAACGUCACUCGCAGAGAAAUGGUCGCACGGCGCCGAAGGUCCGCUCGCUUGCGAGCGGAAACCACGGCGCCCGACAGAACUCGGCUUAUCGCGCACGCCGGUCG